AGUUCGAUUAUGGCUCAGAUUGAACGCUGGCGGGAUGCUUUUACACAUGCAAGUCGAACGGCAGCACGGACUUCGGUCUGGUGGCGAGUGGCGAACGGGUGAGUAAUGUAUCGGAACGUGCCUAGUAGCGGGGGAUAACUGCGAAAGCGUAGCUAAUACCGCAUACGCCCUUCGGGGGAAAGCGGGGGACCUUCGGGCCUCGCACUAUUAGAGCGGCCGAUAUCGGAUUAGCUAGUUGGUGGGGUAACGGCUCACAAGGCGACGAUCCGUAGCUGGUUUGAGAGGACGACCAGCCACACUGGGACUGAGACACGGCCCAGACUCCUACGGAGAACAGCAGUGGGGGAAUUUUGGACAAUGGGGAAACCUGAUCCAGCCAUCCCGCGUGUGCGAUGAAGGCCUUCGGGUUGUAAAGCACUUUUGGCAGAAAGAAACGGCACGGGAUAAUACCCCGUGCAACUGACGAGGAAACACCUGCAGAAUAAGCACCGGCUAACUACGUGCCAGCAGCCGCGGUAAUACGUAGGGGUGCAAGCGUUAAUCGGAAUUACUGGGCGUAAAGCGUGCGCAGGCGGUUCGGAAGAAGAUGUGAAAUCCCAGAGCUUAACCUGGAACUGCAUUUUUAACUACCGAGCUAGAGUGUGUCAGGGAGGUGGAAUUCCGCGUGUAGCAGUGAAAUGCGUAGAUAUGCGGAGGAACACCGAUGGCGAAGGCAGCCUCCUGGGAUAACACUGACGCUCAUGCACGAAAGCGUGGGAGCAAACAGGAUUAGAUACCCUGGUAGUCCACGCCCUAAACGAUGUCAACUAGCUGUUGGGGCCUUCGGGCCUUGGUAGCGCAGCUAACGCGUGAAGUUGACCGCCGCAAGUGCGGUCGCAAGAUUAAAACUCAAAGGAAUUGACGGGGACCCGCGCAAGCGAAUGGAUGAUGUGGAUUAAUUCGAUGCAACGCGAAAAAGCCUUACCUACCCUUGACAUGUCUGGAAUGCCGAAGAGAUUUGGCAGUGCUCGCAAGAGAACCGGAACACAGGUGCUGCACGCGGCUGUCGUCAGCUCGUGUCGUGAGAUGUUGGGUUAAGUCCCGCAACGAGCGCAACCCUUGUCAUUAGUUGCUACGAAAGGGCACUCUAAUGAGACUGCCGGUGACAAACCGGAGGAAGGUGGGGAUGACGUCAAGUCCUCAUGGCCCUUAUGGGUAGGGCUUCACACGUCAUACAAUGGUCGGGACAGAGGUCGCCAACCCGCGAGGGGAGCCGUCCAGAAACCCGAUCGUAGUCCCGGAUCGCAGUCUGCAACUCGACUGCGUGAAGUCCGGAAUCGCUAGUAAUCGCGGAUCAGCAUGUCGCGGUGAAUACGUUCCCGGGUCUUUUACACCGCCCGUCACACCAUGGGAGUGGGUUUUACCAGAAGUAGUUAGCCUAACCGCAAGGGGGCGAUUACCACGGUGAAGUUCAUGACUGGGGUGAAGUCGUAACAAGGUAAC
rnacentral:rRNA from 1 species